UACGAAGGGGGCUAGCGUUGUUCGGAAUUACUGGGCGUAAAGCGCGCGCAGGCGGCCUUUCAAGUCAGGGGUGAAAGCCCAGAGCUCAACUCUGGAACUGCCCUUGAAACUGUCAGGCUUGAGUACGGGAGAGGUGAGUGGAAUUCCCAGUGUAGAGGUGAAAUUCGUAGAUAUUGGGAAGAACACCGGUGGCGAAGGCGGCUCACUGGCCCGUUUCUGACGCUCAGGCGCGACAGCGUGGGGAUCAAACAGG
rnacentral:rRNA from 1 species